rnacentral:lncRNA from 1 species
UCAGAGGUUCCUGCAACUUUUCUUUUAUUUUUCAAUGCCCCUUUGGCAAUCAUUAUUUCACCUGACCGUUUGAUCUCUUCUCUUGACUUGAAUAGGUUCCUACGUGGCUGUUAGGUGAGAUGUGAACCAUGACAUGUAGUUCAAUCUAUCUAAGAAACCACGAACCUCUCUUUUUUUCUCUCGGUUCAGGCAUUACUUUUUUC